rnacentral:rRNA from 1 species
UUUAUGGAGAGUUUGAUCCUGGCUCAGGAUGAACGCUGGCGGCGUGCCUAAUACAUGCAAGUCGAGCGAACGGACGAGAAGCUUGCUUCUCUGAUGUUAGCGGCGGACGGGUGAGUAACACGUGGAUAACCUACCUAUAAGACUGGGAUAACUUCGGGAAACCGGAGCUAAUACCGGAUAAUAUUUUGAACCGCAUGGUUCAAAAGUGAAAGACGGUCUUGCUGUCACUUAUAGAUGGAUCCGCGCUGCAUUAGCUAGUUGGUAAGGUAACGGCUUACCAAGGCAACGAUGCAUAGCCGACCUGAGAGGGUGAUCGGCCACACUGGAACUGAGACACGGUCCAGACUCCUACGGGAGGCAGCAGUAGGGAAUCUUCCGCAAUGGGCGAAAGCCUGACGGAGCAACGCCGCGUGAGUGAUGAAGGUCUUCGGAUCGUAAAACUCUGUUAUUAGGGAAGAACAUAUGUGUAAGUAACUGUGCACAUCUUGACGGUACCUAAUCAGAAAGCCACGGCUAACUACGUGCCAGCAGCCGCGGUAAUACGUAGGUGGCAAGCGUUAUCCGGAAUUAUUGGGCGUAAAGCGCGCGUAGGCGGUUUUUUAAGUCUGAUGUGAAAGCCCACGGCUCAACCGUGGAGGGUCAUUGGAAACUGGAAAACUUGAGUGCAGAAGAGGAAAGUGGAAUUCCAUGUGUAGCGGUGAAAUGCGCAGAGAUAUGGAGGAACACCAGUGGCGAAGGCGACUUUCUGGUCUGUAACUGACGCUGAUGUGCGAAAGCGUGGGGAUCAAACAGGAUUAGAUACCCUGGUAGUCCACGCCGUAAACGAUGAGUGCUAAGUGUUAGGGGGUUUCCGCCCCUUAGUGCUGCAGCUAACGCAUUAAGCACUCCGCCUGGGGAGUACGACCGCAAGGUUGAAACUCAAAGGAAUUGACGGGGACCCGCACAAGCGGUGGAGCAUGUGGUUUAAUUCGAAGCAACGCGAAGAACCUUACCAAAUCUUGACAUCCUUUGACAACUCUAGAGAUAGAGCUUUCCCCUUCGGGGAACAAAGUGACAGGUGGUGCAUGGUUGUCGUCAGCUCGUGUCGUGAGAUGUUGGGUUAAGUCCCGCAACGAGCGCAACCCUUAAGCUUAGUUGCCAUCAUUAAGUUGGGCACUCUAAGUUGACUGCCGGUGACAAACCGGAGGAAGGUGGGGAUGACGUCAAAUCAUCAUGCCCCUUAUGAUUUGGGCUACACACGUGCUACAAUGGACAAUACAAAGGGCAGCGAAACCGCGAGGUCAAGCAAAUCCCAUAAAGUUGUUCUCAGUUCGGAUUGUAGUCUGCAACUCGACUACAUGAAGCUGGAAUCGCUAGUAAUCGUAGAUCAGCAUGCUACGGUGAAUACGUUCCCGGGUCUUGUACACACCGCCCGUCACACCACGAGAGUUUGUAACACCCGAAGCCGGUGGAGUAACCUUUUAGGAGCUAGCCGUCGAAGGUGGGACAAAUGAUUGGGGUGAAGUCGUAACAAGGUAGCCGUAUCGGAAGGUGCGGCUGGAUCACCUCCUUUCU